rnacentral:rRNA from 1 species
AAUGAACGUUGGCGGCGUGGAUUAGGCAUGCAAGUCGUGCGAGAACCGUAGCAAUACGGGGACAGCGGCGAAAGGGAGAGGAAUACGCGGGUACCUACCCUCGGAUCUGGGAUAGCUACGGGAAACUGUAGGUAAUACCAGAUAACGUCUCCGGACCAAAGGUGUGAUUCCGUCCGGGGAGGGGCCCACGUCCUAUUAGCUUGUUGGCGAGGUAACGGCUCACCAAGGCAAAGAUGGGUAUGGGAUGUGAGAGCAUGAUCCCACUCACUGGGACUGAGACACUGCCCAGACACCUACGGGUGGCUGCAGUCGAGAAUCUUCGGCAAUGGGGGCAACCCUGACCGAGCGACGCCGCGUGCGAGAUGAAGGCCUUCGGGUUGUAAAUCGCUGUCAGUGGGGAGGAAAUGCUGGUGGGUUCUCCCAUCAGUUUGACCUAUCCGCAGAGGAAGGACGGGCUAAGUUCGUGCCAGCCGCCGCGGUAAAAC